GACGAACCGUGCGAACGUUAUUCGGAAUCAUUGGGCUUAAAGGGCGCGUAGGCGGCGGGGUAAGUUGGAAGUGAAAUCCCAUCGGCUCAACCGUGGAAUUGCUCCCAGUACUGCAUCGCUCGAGGGGGAUAGGGGUCUGCGGAACUACCGGUGGAGCGGUGAAAUGUGUUGAUAUCGGUGGGAACGCCAGUGGCGAAAGCGGCAGACUAGACCCUUCCUGACGCUGAUGCGCGAAAGCUAGGGGAGCAAACGGG
rnacentral:rRNA from 1 species